rnacentral:rRNA from 1 species
UGGGGAAUAUUGCACAAUGGGCGCAAGCCUGAUGCAGCCAUGCCGCGUGUGUGAAGAAGGCCUUCGGGUUGUAAAGCACUUUCAGCGAGGAGGAAGGCGUUAAGGUUAAUAACCUUGGCGAUUGACGUUACUCGCAGAAGAAGCACCGGCUAACUCCGUGCCAGCAGCCGCGGUAAUACGGAGGGUGCAAGCGUUAAUCGGAAUUACUGGGCGUAAAGCGCACGCAGGCGGUUUGUUAAGUCAGAUGUGAAAUCCCCGAGCUUAACUUGGGAACUGCAUUUGAAACUGGCAAGCUAGAGUCUUGUAGAGGGGGGUAGAAUUCCAGGUGUAGCGGUGAAAUGCGUAGAGAUCUGGAGGAAUACCGGUGGCGAAGGCGGCCCCCCUGGACAAAGACUGACGCUCAGGUGCGAA